AUUGAACGCUGGCGGCAGGCCUAACACAUGCAAGUCGAGCGGAUGAAGGGAGCUUGCUCCUGGAUUCAGCGGCGGACGGGUGAGUAAUGCCUAGGAAUCUGCCUGGUAGUGGGGGAUAACGUCCGGAAACGGGCGCUAAUACCGCAUACGUCCUGAGGGAGAAAGUGGGGGAUCUUCGGACCUCACGCUAUCAGAUGAGCCUAGGUCGGAUUAGCUAGUUGGUGGGGUAAAGGCCUACCAAGGCGACGAUCCGUAACUGGUCUGAGAGGAUGAUCAGUCACACUGGAACUGAGACACGGUCCCGACUCCUACGGGAGGCAGCAGUUGGGAAUAUUGGACAAUGGGCGGAAGCCUGGUCCAGCCAUGCCGCGUGUGUUAAGAAGGUCUUCGGAUUGUAAAGCACUUUUAGUUGGGAGGAAGGGCAGUAAGUUAAUACCUUGCUGUUUUGACGUUACCAACAGAAUAAGCACCGGCUAACUUCGUG
rnacentral:rRNA from 1 species